UUUGGUUGCGAAUAUAACCGAGUAUUCGUAUUGGCUAAUCCUUUCUCAUGAUAUGGAUAGCCUACGCCAAGAGAAAAUUCAAAGAUUUGAAGAAUUUGUUGAUAAACGCUUGAAACCUGAUCUUCUUCAUGCUAUUGCUCAGCGGGACAAAGUAUUUGAACAACAGAAAACUUUUGCUGAUUUGCGAAAGAACAUUGAAAGCCUAGAGAAGAAUAGUGUAACCAGUCUAAGAACCUUGGUCAAUCUUGGUUCUGAAGUAUACCUGCAGGCCGAAGUGCCCGAUACACAACACAUAUUUGUGGAUAUAGGAUUGGGAUUCCAUGUGGAAUUAACUUGGUCUGAAGCUUUGAAAUACAUCCGAAAAAGGGAAGAAAAGAUAACCAGGCAGAUAGAGGAGUACACUCAGUUGAUUGCAUCAAUCAAAGCCCAAAUUAAGCUAUUAGGAGCCAGAUAAGAUGAACUGGGGAUUAUGUUUGUGGUGUCAUUCUUAAUGGUUCCAAGAAUUCACCUAUGGGCAUCAUUGACUUAGCAGACCCACUCCCUCUCAGAACAUGGGUUAUCAUCCAUCAUUACCUUCAACAUGACUGAAUAGGUUACAAACCAGAAAAAUGUAAAAACAACAUGUCUAAUUGAUUUAACUUCCAAAAUAUAAGAAAAGUCUAAUUUUAAUAGAGUAACGUUUGACAUAAUUCUGGAACUGACCCAGGAUUGAAUUUUCCCUGAAAGAUAUUUUAGGAAAGCUUUAAACUGUUUCAAAUCUAAAUAAUAGUGGUGAUAUUACAUUCUUUGGAGUACCAAAACUUUU